GACGAACGCUGGCGGCGUGCUUAACACAUGCAAGUCGAACGAAGAGCGAUGGAAGCUUGCUUCUAUCAAUCUUAGUGGCGAACGGGUGAGUAACGCGUAAUCAACCUGCCCUUCAGAGGGGGACAACAGUUGGAAACGACUGCUAAUACCGCAUACGAUCUAAUCUCGGCAUCGAGGAUAGAUGAAAGGUGGCCUCUACAUGUAAGCUAUCACUGAAGGAGGGGAUUGCGUCUGAUUAGCUAGUUGGAGGGGUAACGGCCCACCAAGGCGAUGAUCAGUAGCCGGUCUGAGAGGAUGGACGGCCAAAUUGGGACUGAGACACGGCCCAGACUCCUACGGGAGGCAGCAGUGGGGAAUCUUCCGCAAUGGACGAAAGGCUGACGGAGCAACGCCGCGUGAGUGAUGACGGCCUUCGGGUUGGAAAGCUCUGUUAAUCGGGACGAAAGGCCUUCUUGCGAAUAGUGAGAAGGAUUGACGGUACCGGAAUAGAAAGCCACGGCUAACUACGUG
rnacentral:rRNA from 1 species